rnacentral:lncRNA from 10 species
CAAAACAAAACAAAACCCAAAAAGUUACAGUCUCAGUGCAGAAGAGAAAUCCACCUCAUCCAGGAAAAGGGAAGGAAUAUGUGCUUGGCACAGUGAUACAUGUGUGGAGGAACAGUAACAUUCGUGAAAGCCAUACACUUGAUAAACAGGUUUACAGUACCUAGUGAGAGGUGACAGCAUGCUGGCAGCCCUCAGUCGCUCUCGGCGCCUCCUCUGCCUGGGCUCCCACUUUGGCGGCACUUGAGGAGCCUUUCAGCCCGCCGCUGCACUGUGAGAGCCCCUUCCUGGGCUGGCCUAGGCCGGAGCUGGCUCCCUCAGCUUGCAGGGAGGUGUGGAGGGAGAGGCGCGAGCGUGAACCCAGGCUGCGCGCUGCGCCUGCGGGCCAGCUGGAGUUCCGGGUGGGCGUGGGCUUGGCGGCCCCGUACUGGGAGCAGCCGGCAGGCCCUGCCGGCCCCGGCAAUGAGCGGCUUAGCACCUGGGCCAGCGGCUGCAGAGGGUGUGCUGGGUCCCCCAGCAGUGCCGGCCCACGGGCGCUGCCCUCGAUUUCUCGCCAGGCCUUAGCUGCCUUCCCGCGGGGCAGGGGUCAGGACCUGCAGCCCGCCAUGACUGAGCCUCCCCGCCCUCCUCCGUGGGCUCCUGUGCGGGAGGGAGCCUCCCCGACGAUCGCCGCCCCCGCUUCACGGCGCCCAGUCCCAUCGACCACCCAAGGGCUGAGGAGUGCAGGCGCAUGGCCCGGGACUUGCAGGCAGCUCCACCUGCAGCCCCAGUGUGAGAUCCACUGGGUGAAGCCAGCUGGUCUCCUGAGUCUAGUGGGAACUUGGAGAACCUUUAUGUCUAGCUAAGGGAUUGUAAAUACACGAAUCAGCGCUCUGUCUCUAGCUCAAGGUUUGUAAACACACCAAUCAGCACCCUGUGUCUAGCUCAGGGUUUGUGAAUGCACCAAUCGACACUCUGUAUCUAGCUACUCUGGUGGGGACUUGGAGAACCUCUGUGUGGACAGUCUAUAUCUAGCUAAUCUAGUGGGGACAUGGAGAACCUUUGUGUCUAGCUCAGGGAUUGUAAAUGCACCAGUCAGCACCCUGUCAAAACAGACUACUCAGCUCUCUGUAAAAUGCACCAAUCAGCAGGAUGUGGGUGGGGCCAGAUAAGAAUAAAAGCAGGCUGCCUGAGCCACCAGUGGCAACCCUCUGGGGUCCCCUUGCACGCUGUGGAAGCUUUAUUGUUUCACUCUUUGCAAUAAAUCUUGCUGCUGCUCACUCUUUGGGUCCACACUGCCUUUAUGAGCUGUAACACUCACGAUGAAGUUCUGCAGCUUCACUCCUGAAGCCAGCGACACCACAAACCCACCAGGAGGAAGGAACAACUCCAGAUGCACCUCCUUAAGAGCUGUGACACUCACCGCGAAGGUCCGCAGCUUCACUCCUGAGCCGGCGAGACCACGAACCCCACCAGAAGGAAGAAACUCUGAACACCUCCGAACAUCAGAAGGAACAAACUCUGGACACGCUGCCUUUAGGAACUGUAACACUCACCGCGAGGGUCCCCGGCUUCAUUCUUGAAGUCAGUGAGACCAAAAUCCCACCAAUUCUGGACACACUAGGAAGACUGAGACCCAAUUGGACCAUCAAAGAACGACCCAAUCACCAGCACAAAGCUAAUAAACUUGUAAGCUUUCAAUACAAAUAACGUUGGAACAUAGCUAGGAAGACUUCAGGAGACAGAUUCUCUUUGCAGAGUCUCUGGGAGCCUUUCUCUCUACCAUGUGGAUGCCUGCAGAAGCCUGCACAGUCAUUCUGCCACAUGCACUGUGGAUACACAGCUGAUUUACAGCUGGGCUGAAAAAGCCUCAUCUCUGUUUCUGGGGAUUCCAGGAUAUCCUGUUUUUGACUCUUAGCUAAGGUAAGUGCAAGACUUAUGAUGUGCAGUUUAAAGUUGAAACUCUCCUGAUGAUCUCCAAAUCAGUUUCUUCACUGGUAGUUUACUAUGAACCUAAUCAGUUAGGUCAGCUUUCUUGAUUUAGUGGCCGGUGGUGUACUGCAAACCCUCACUAGAUCUUCUGCUUUGAGCUCUUUGGCAACCAAGAUUCUUCACUCAGAAGUUGGUAGUUCAAGCUGCAGAAAAAGCACUGUCUAUGUGUGUGUGAGAAUAAGGCCUCUCGGAGCUGGUGCAUGGAAUGUCUACAGGAUCUGAUACUUUCUGCACUCUUUUUCUCUUACUGGACCAUAUUGUUUGUCUUCAAAUAUGACCUUUAACGCAAGUAUGCUCGGUGGUGUCUGCUUAAUCCUUUCAAUUAUUAAAACUUGGGAACUCUUUGCAUGUAUAAACUUGGAAGUGGAAAGGAUAUAAUAAUUCUGGGACAAAAUUUGAUCAAUGAGCAGCAAAAGCCAAUUGAUACGUAUAGGCUUCAUUUGUGUCUCAGAUGGACACUUCUGAGAUGCAAGGUAAAAAGUCGCUUGGACUGUCCCAGCAACAAUGAUGUCCAUUUUAGCGCAGAAAUAUCCAACUCGUUCUUCACCCUUAAAUGGGGUUUUUCUCUUUCCCUGUUUUAUUUUUCCCAGUCUUUCUAGUUCUGAUCAUUGGCAUCAGUUCUUCAAAUGAAUUAGCUGAGUGCAGUUCCUAGAUUCAGAUUCUGCUUUGGGAGCAAACCCAAGCUAGGACAGGUUAAUAAAUCAAUUUUGCUAUUUUUCUUAUUCUUUUUCUUUUUUUUAUGGCAUAUUAUUCUUUACUAUCAAAUGGCAGAUUUAUGUGAAAUUUGAAAAUGUAAACUAUGCAAGUAUGUAAUCAUUAUUGAGCUCUUGUAAAAACUAAAAUUGCAUCAAAUUAUUGGAUGAAAAUAAUUCUGAUUAGUAAAUUAUCUUCUCUAUUUUAGCAUUCACUGUUCACUUAAGUGCUCCCGCAGUAUUAUGGAGGAAGAAUCAGCUUGUAGAAAAAGAAACCUUAUAAAUUGAGAGAAGACUACUUAUUAACAACAAUAGAUAGCAAACUGCAAUGAGUCAUAGCCUAAAAAUUCUAAAAAGAAAUUGAAAUUAGACCCUUAUAUAAAACAAAUCAAUCAACCUAAAAUAACAGAAAAGUAAAUAUGUUUUACUUUUAAUACUAUGAAAUUUUAAUAUUAUGAAACCUGUUAAAUGAAAAAGUUUAAGCCCAAGAAUGGUAGAUGGAAAUAAAAACAAUGCACCAAAAAGAGAGAAAAAUAUUCAAAAUAAUAUAGUAAAAUAAAAGACAAAAUUAGUAGUCCAUUUUGGUCAACCAAGAAAAUAUUUUUGUGAUAAGAAAAUAACAGUAAUUCUGUAUGUAUUUAAAUACUGUUUUUUAAUUAAAAUGCUAGACAAACUACUUAGAAUUUAUGAAGGAGUUUUUCAAAUAAAAGUUAAAUAUGUUAUCUUAUUUGGAACUAGCAUAAACAUAUGAAUAAAUUUUGACUCAUUUAAAAUAUAUACUACAAACUUAAGGCUAAUAACUAAAAUAACAGAAGUGUAAAUUAUAAAACAUUUAAUCCAGAAUAAGAAUUAAAGAAGUAAAAAGAGGAAGACUUUAGAGCAAAUGGAAAAUGCUAUUAACCCAGUAUUAAGGUAGGGCACAGAAAAUGUAUGCUAUACAUUCAUUGCUGGUGGGAAUGUAAAUUGAUACAGGUAUUUUAAUGAGUAACUUAAUAUGUCUGAUAGAAUUUAAAAUUCCCAUGCCUUUUGAUUCAGUAAUUCCUAAAUAUAUAUGCUAGAGAAACAGUUGUUCACAUAUAUAAAGAGACAUAUAAAAUAAUGGGCCUAGGAAAUAGUGAUUAUAAUUCAAUAUGAUUUAAACAAUCUAAAAUUCCAUCUAAAUGAAAUAGUUAAAAUAUUAUCACAUUCUUUCACACACACACACGGAUUUUAUUCAGCACUUUACAUAGUUUGCCCUUUCUUACUCUCUCUUAUUAUGCCUAUAUACACAGCAUAAUGGAUAUAUAUAUGUAGGCUCUCUCAUUAUCUGAAAAAAGCCACUAGUUAUAGCACAUGUAUCUUACAGUGAAUUUAAAACAAAACUCAAAUCUUAACUCAUGUAGUUUAGGAAAAUAUUUAAAUUUUGAGACAUGGUCUCAAUCCAGACGUUAGGAAUUAUGUCUGCCUAUUAUCAUGGGCCAUUAGAACAAAACUUGAUAUACGAAAAUCCUCGGUGCUGAGAUUACGUCAAUAUAUCAAUAUUGAGAUUAUGUCAAUACAUCAAUAUUUGUUCCAAUUGCUCCAUCAUAAUAGGAAGAAAUAGUGCCUAAUGACUGUAUUGAGACCGUGUGUUAAAAGUUGAAUAUUUUCCUAAACUACAUGAGUUAAGAUUUGAGUUUUGUUUUAAAUUCACUAUAAGACACAUGUGCUAUAUCUAGUGGCUUUUUUUUCAGAUAAUGAGAGAGUCUACAUAUAUAUCCAUUAUGCUAUUUAUAUAAGGAAUAUAGAAAAUAUAAACCAUAAUUUUACGUUAGGAUCAUUGUAUAUGUUUAUGUGUAAGUUAAUUUUCUGGCCAGUUUUAGAUAUUUGAAAACAGUUUCAUUUUUAAUUCAAUUUUUCUCUGAGUUCUAUCCCAAGCAGCCAUAAUGUGUAAGGCAACGGGACAACAGACAGCAUCCAGCAGGGAUUCCUAAGAAAAGACAAAGCUGAAAUGGGAGUCUGAAUGACUUUUCUAGAUCUACUUAUUUAAAACUUAGGAGAUCAUAACAUAUUAAGACGGAAAAAGUGAUGCUCACGCCAGAGAAGAGUCAGCCCAAGGUCAUCUAGGAUCAGUGGCACACCUAGGAUUCAGGCCCAAGGACCCCCAGCUGACCUGCCUUCCCUGGAACCUCACUGUGAGUUCUUUAACCAUGGCUGUGUUUUCAAAGUUGAACUGGGGCUGCUGUUGAUACCACCUUUAAAUGCCUGCUUUUGUCAUGGAGACCAUGAGAACUUCACUCUUCAGCUGGCAAUUUACCUGGCUGCACAGUGCUCAGGCACACACAGGCUUCAGGGCUACAAGGUAAAGGAUUUGCCAAGGCCAAGUGCUGAAACCCACUUCUUGUUUUGAAGCAAAUGAGAACUUCCACCUGUAUUUGACCUGGGUCAUGAUCUGGUACUUUUUUACAGCAAACUCAUACUUAACAAAUUUUAAAGAUUUUUUAAAGAAUGAACUAAUGAAUUGGGUUAGUAAGGGUGGUUGCCUUGUCUUGCUCAUUGCAAGAAUGAAAGCUGUAUAAGUUGAAUGAAAAUAUAAAUAUGACUUUGAAGGUGGGUAAGUCUUACCUUCCCUUCUAGCAGUCUCUGAAGUUGCUUGAACAAUGGCUUAUUUUAUUAUUAGUUGGGACUCUUUGGUUGCAAGUAAUGGAAGUAUACUUGAACUAGAUUAGCAAAAAUGUAAGGCUUGUUAUAACAUUGCACAAGCACAGAACUCGCUGCUGGCUGGUAAGAUAUAGGACUACUGCAUUAUGGGGAUUUUUGAAUUCUAAUCUACUAGAGGGACCAUUGUUUUAAAAGUUCUUUAGAAGUUAUUCUUGGAACUACUAUUUAUACACGAAAGAAUGUGGAUGGAUCUCAAAAGCAUUAUGGCAAAAGACAGAAACAAAAGGCUACAUAUUGUUUCAUUCCAUUCACCUAACAUUUUAAAAAGCACAAAACUAUAGCAGUAAAAAUGAAUCAGUGGUCCCCAGAGACUAGGGGUAAAGGAGCAACUAUAAAAAGGAGACUUUUGGGAUAAUGGAACUAUUUUAAAUAUUGACUAUGGUUGUGGUCACAAGACUGCAAAACUGUAUACAGUUAUUAAUAUUUAUAGAACAAUACACUUCAAAAUGGGGGAUUUUAUUGAAUGCAAAUUAUACCUCAAUAAACCUGAUUGCUUUUUAAAAUAUAUAUAUAUAUAUAAAUAUGAAAUAGAUUAUUUUUAGUAAGUGACUAGAAAAAGGGCAAGCAAAAUAAUCGGUAACUUAGUAGGCAGCAAAUUAUUGUUCAUUUAUUUAACUCAGGUUUUAGAAAGUCCAUUGUGAAGCUAGUAAAAGAUUGUGAUUUGAAUUAUUUCUCAAAUUAUAGAUGAUUUUUAAUGAAGACAACAGAUAUACCUAAUAAAUUAUUUUUAAUUGAUCCAUGGAUACUAUCUUAUCUUUAUUCACACUUAGAUAUAAGAAAACACUAAAGAUAGACUUAGCAUGUUUCUAAAAUUAAUUUCUCUAAUUUGCAACACAGCACAUAAUAGUCAUGAUAAUUAAGCCAACUGAUAUCAUAAUUUAUGAUUACUUCUUGUCAGAAACUGUGAUAUUAUUUCCAUUGAGUAGGAAGUGGGGAGUGGGGCAAUUAAACUUAGUGCUAGAAUUAUUCUCCUUUUAAGCAUAAUUCAUCAAAAUCAAGAGUGAGCUUCAAAAUGACCAGUAAUAAAAGUAGGAAGAGAGAUGAUUUUCUAUAAAGUGCAAUUUAUGGAUUCUGGAUUCACAGAGAAAAUAAACACAUAGUGAAUUAGGUAAAAAUAAAAGAGGUAAAAUAUCCUGCAUGUAUUCUAUUAACAAGAUCAAAAGAAAACAAAAUUUACAUUACCGUAGAGAUCUUUAUAGCACCCCGUUUGUUAAAUUGAUAUUGUUGUGUUAAAAAAUUGACACAGACAUAUUAAUGGCUACAAAGAAAGAAAUAAAGAACUCCUUCUCACUUUUAAAUAGAUUCUGGAUUCUAGAGGAUAGUCCACACUUUCUUGUGCAAUUGUUUAAAUGUUGAAAUUGCUGACAUUAAGUGUGUAUGCAUUUACAUGUUGAAAUGCCACACAAAGGGUUUAUUAAUUUACUCUUUUUAUAAGCAAUGUAAGUCCUUGGUCUCUACAGUCUUAUCAAUAUCAAGUAUUUUGUACAUUACUGAUUUUGCCAAUUUAGUAUAUGAAGAAAAAGCCCACAAUAUAAUCUUUAUUUUGUUCAGUGGUAAGCAAAGUUAAACAUAUGUUUUUUAAAAGUCCCAUUUUGCGUCUUGAUUUCAAAUCAUCUGGUCAUAUUCCCAAAUAUUUAUAUGUUGCAUUCUUUGAUUUUUAUUCAUUUAUGGAAAAGUUUCGGGGAUAAAGAAGGAUUAGUAUUUUCUGUGUUCCACAUGGCUGUUCUAGACCAUUGAAACUCCUGUCCACAUAGUGUCUUAUUUUUUUUAAUAGUUUCACAUAGAAAGUAUGUUAAUAUACAUGAUCUUUUAAUUAUUUCCACAUAAAAGGUAUUUAGAAUUUAUCAUUAUUAUCAUCAUUUCAACUUUAGACUUAAAUAAACUGAACCUCAAAGUGGUCAAUGACUUGACCGAGUCCCAAGUAGAAAUGAAGCUGAUUUUCUGGCUUCUUUCGUAUUUUUUCAAACUACAUAUAUUCAUUACAUUUAUUUUACUAACAAAGUAUUGCUUUAUCCUUUCUUAUGAACCAGCAUUUUUAUUGUUUUUUUAAUUAAAUUUAUUCUUAUUAAUAAAAAAACAAGUCAAUUCCUUGGAAAUUUUUGCCGAAACCUGUUUUACAUUUCAAUAUCUCCAUAAUUGGCCAUAGGCUUUAAUGACAUUGAACUCCUUCUUUCUCUGUUGCUUCAGGCUUGUCCAUAGAAGUAAAUAUUCGCAUGAUUUUAACUUUCCAAACUGGCCCGAAAUAAUUUGUCUUAACUAUUGUCAAAUUAUUACCCACUUUGUAAAGCUGUGUUCAGUUUCUUCUCCUCAAUGAAAACGUUCAUGGUCAUAUAAAAAUAUGAUUACAAUUUUUCUCACUCUCUGAGUUACCUUGUAUUUUAUAAUAUUUUCAUGUAAGAAAAUGAGCUGUCCAUUUUAAAUGUCCAUCAUAAUUCUUCAAAUAAUGUUUAUAAAAUUAUACUCACUGGCUAGUAAUAUGCAGUUUGGCAACAGAAUGAGACUAUAUACAAAUUAAUAAAGUCAGUUGUUGGUCACAGUUAACAAUAAUUUUUCAUAAGCUUGGAGUUGAGGAAAUUCAAAGGCACUCAGUAUUUUUUUAAAUUAAGAAUUGCAAGAAGAAAGAGACAGAAAAUGAGUAUGUUAUUCAAAAUGAAAAGAUCAAUGCAAUCAUCCAAACCCAGUUAAGACUGUGUAACAGUGCAAAACAAGGUGUUUCUAAUAUUUCUAGAAUAUCACUGUCUUUCCCUUAUAGUAGGCUCAAGAUUUCUUUAAAUGACGUAGGGAAAGUAACUUUCCAUCGGCAAGACAGAAAAUAGCUAUUGGGAGAUUAGGGUAGGAGACGGAAGGAAAGCAAAGGGAAGGGAAGGGGAGGGGAGGGGAGGGAAGGGGAGGGGAAGGAGAAUGGCAGGAAAGAACAAGAAAAGGAGGGAGAAAGAACUAAGAAAGGAAGAGAGGAAGGGAGGGGAGGAGAGAGAGAGGAAAAGAGGAUGAAAAAUGAGAGGUGGAAUAACAGCUAGACAGGAAAGGAGAAUGAGAAAAGUAAGACGCAAACAGGGAGAGCAAAAAUUAAAGUAACCUAGAUGUGGCAGUCAAGAGAUUGUGAAAGAUGUGUAUACAAAAGAGGGGCCAUACCACAGCAGUAACUUGACCACAGCAGUAACUCAAUGCAUGAUUUGUGUUCCUGUAUCUUUUAAUGGCACAAGUCCUGGGACCUUUGAUGAGGCUCUGUCUAAUCAUAGAAGGACUCUGCCACCAGAAUAACCUAGUUUGCAUAAACUUUCCUCGUGUUUUCUUUCACUCCGCUAUCCAGACUGUAGGGUGUGCCUUACAUUAUUUAGCUGAAUUGUCAACAGGUGUACUGAGUAAACUGUUUGAUUUAUAAAUAUCUCUGUAUCUAAUCAUGUAUCAAUUUCUCAAAUUAUGGUGUUUCACAUAUUGGUUUCUCUAAAGAUUAUUUCAUUUCACAAUUUGAGGCAGUUUUGUGAAAAGAAACAUAUACAUAUAUUUUAAUUUCUGCCUGAAAUAUACAACAUUGAAUUUCAUUCAAAUAUUUAAUGCCUUCACAAAUAAAACGUAGCUAGUGUUUCAUGUUGCUGUUUAGAAGUUUAUUGAAAUAUGGCAGAUAAAAUGCUAUAGAGAUAUUAUUAUGUUUAAUAAUUCAGUAGUUGCUUCAAAUAUGCUAUAAAGUGUUGGAAUAUGGCCAGUUAACUUUAAAAUAUAGAAUAAUAAAAUAAUUGGAUUUAAAAUUGCUUCAUAUUAUUUUUGUUUAAUAAAAAGACAAUCCAUGUCUUAGGUGUACCCUUUUAAAUCCUAUCUACUUUCUGAUUCUUAGGAUUCUUAAAAAGAAUAUUGUAAUGACUGAACAGAAAUAUUAUAUCUGAUUUUGUACUAGAAAAUUGAAGCAGCAUGGGAUCAUGGCUAAGUAAGAGCUUUAUAGCAGUAGCAAAUAGUUACAUGAUUACUGAAGUAUAGCUGUCACUGGAAAUAGAAAGCUGCAAGGAACCUAUCAUAAAAGUAGCAAUUUCAGUUUCACUAGUGUUUAAAAUUAAAGCCUAGUAAUUCAUUGUGGAUGUAUUUCCUCAAUGGUUUCAGGAAAGUAUCCUGCUUUCACUGAGCAUUUUCACUUUGUUCCUUAUGUGUUUCCUUUCAUAAUGAAAAAGUUGUAAUUUCAGAUUGGUAAAACAAUUGUUAGGACUUUGUGAACAAACACUCAAAAAGUUUUGUGUCAUGAAAUAAUGAUUAGUCAAUUGUAUUUAUUGUUAUAACACACUAUGUUAAAAAUUCACUGCCAGAUGAUCCACAUUAUGUUAGGUAAACCAAUUUAAUCAACAGUUUCCUCUUUUGACAUAUAAUUAGCUGAUGGAUGAAUUUAGAGGUGUAAAAAACCUUCAAAUAAAAGCGUUUAUGGAAAAAAAUAAUGGCUGUUUAUGGAGUUUUGCAUACAUGUGUUACUGUCUUAAGAAGCUGAAAUGAGAUUUAAG